rnacentral:snRNA from 1 species
GCAUUGCGAUGGUCCCUGC